rnacentral:rRNA from 1 species
GACGUAGGGCGCGAGCGUUGUCCGGAAUUAUUGGGCGUAAAGAGCUCGUAGGCGGUUUGUCGCGUCUGCUGUGAAAACUCGGGGCUUAACCCCGGGCCUGCAGUGGGUACGGGCAGACUAGAGUGCGGUAGGGGAGACUGGAAUUCCUGGUGUAGCGGUGAAAUGCGCAGAUAUCUGGAGGGACACCGGUGGCGAAGGCGGGUCUCUGGGCCGUAACUGACGCUGAGGAGCGAAAGCGUGGGGAGCGAACAGG